GGUAGUAUAAACUAUAAAAACCCAUAUAAACUGGCGGUUAAAACAUAUUAGAGGAACUCGCUUUAUAAUCGACAAUCCUCGUUAAUUUUCACUUGUCAUAAACCUAUUCUUUUUUAAAGCUUAUAUACCGCCGUUCCAGAAAAGACAAAAAAUCAAUUUCACAACUACUAACAAAAAAAUCAGGUCAAGGUGUAGCCCAUAGACAAGAAAAAGUAAGUUACAAUAAAUUUAAUUUAAGGAAUUAUUUUCCAAAGAAAUAAGGAAAAAGAAUCUAAAAAUACAAGUAAAUUAAAAUUUUACUUAGA
rnacentral:rRNA from 1 species